rnacentral:lncRNA from 1 species
GCUGCAAAGAUGGCCCUGCCUCCAUGCCUUGUUGAACAUGAUGAUGCCCCUGGGAAUGGGAGGUGAUGGUUUUUUACUUCGGCCCUAGUACAGAGUAUGCUCUUGAAGCUGGAUUCCAUCAGCAGGUUUUGGAAAUCACUAGUGGGUAAAAAAGACCAAUUUGCAACUAGGCUCUCAUGCUCUGUUGAAAACUAUGUCACAAUAUCACAAUACUAGAUGCUGGGCUCAAGACAGCAAACAGAAAGCAGCAAGGGCAGUGACUGGAAGCUGGGAGAGAGGGUCAACAGCUGAAUCUCAGCCUGAUGGAGGCCACCAUUUAAUAAGUAAAUACAUGCACGGCUAUUUAGAUCCUGCAUCAGACAGGUCAUCAGAAAACAUGAAGCUAAAUGCAGUAAAGAAUUACUCUCUUGAACUCUUGAAAAUAUCAAAAACAUGAAGCUAAAUGCAGUAAAGAAUUAGUCUCUUGAACUCUUGAAAAUAUCAUUUUCUUAUAGAAA